CACCACUCCACUCUACUUCCAGUCUUUGCGCAGUCUUUCCGCCAUACAAAAGCACUCAGAGCGCUGCCAGAUCGCCGUGGCGCCCGCGAUUCGCGCUCCUUCCGAGAUUUAAAAAACGGAGCCAGAACAGAAGAAAAAUGCAUAAACAAAUAAUAAUUAAAAGAAACGCGUGUUUUCUGUGUGUGUAUGCCGUUUUUAACUCAAUUUGCCGUUGAUUACAAGCCGAGCUCACCCACACACACGCACUCGAGACUUUUCCGAUAAAAAAUGAGCGGAUGCACGCAGCAUUUACAGUUGAGUUUAAAUGUGCCGUCUAAUUAGACAUGAUUUAAUUUCAAAGCGAUUUGAUAAAAACAAAUUUGCGAAUUGAAACGACGCCGCGUGUGUAUUUUGUAUGUACAUGUGUAUGUGCCUGUGUGUAAUUCGCCAUACUUCUUCAAUUCAAAGAACAGACAGAAGAAGAACACAACAACAAGAGGGCAAGACAUACUUGAAAAAUAUAAAAAAGCAACAACAACUAUUGCUAUCUCUUUUGUCGCUCUCUUUCUCCCGCUCCUUACUGAUGAUGUGCGCGUGUGUAAGCUUCGAUUUGUUAGUGUGUAUGGCCCGAAGGAAUGAAGCCGGAACACCUUUCAACCCUGCGAGCCAUUGUUAUUAUUAUUGCUACUAUGAGGCGGUGCUAUGGCUACUCCUCCUACACGAUCGCAUUCGCAUUUGCUUCACGCUCAUUUAAAUGCCAACGCACCGGGGGAAAAGAGAGGACGGCGAUCUAACAAAACAUUGGCUGCUCGGCUGCCUUAUUUACAUAUUUUCUAAAUGAAUGUGGCUACGAGUUUGCAACCCCGGCGGUGGCAAAGCCAAGAAGCGCAUUCAGUUGCAACGGCGGCAGCUGCUGGCUUUCCCUGCACUGGAUUUCCACUUCCUCCCGGUCGAAGUAGCAGCAGCAGCAGCAACAUCAACAAUCAGGAACAGCAGCAACAGGGGCAGCAACAACAAGAAGCCGUCGUCAAACGCCGCAACUAAUUGAUAUAAUAGUUAAAAUAACAAACUAACGAGAAAGAGGUUGUCGGUGAACGCGCUGCGCUGGUGAAGUGCAAAACCUUUCCAAUUUGAAAAUAGUUUUCCUGCUAUGUGUGCUCGUUCCCACAAGCAGCAAUACUACCAGUAGAUGAAGCAGCAACAUUGGCAGCAACUGCAACAUUGGUUCAGAACAAGCAGAAAACAGCAAAGCCUGCACUUUGCCAAGAGGUGAUUGGGAAAAGGGGCUGUAGCUGUAGCUGGAGUUGGAGCUGGAGCUGGAGAAGAUGACAAUGCAGCGAUUAGAGCAAUGCAGAACUUGAACUCUACAACUCGACGGCAUCAACAUCAUCAUCAUCAUCCUCUUCAUUGGCGGCAGCUGGAAAAAUGUUUGCCCCAAUCCCCAGUCGAAGUGGCAGUCCCAAUGCGCGGCAUUUCCGUUCGGAAAAAAGAGGAUGCAGCGGAGGCUGGAUCGAUUCGUUACUGGGGGGAAAAGUAGUAAUCACAUUUAUUAAAUCUAAAUAAAAUAUCUGUAAUGCACAUCGUUUAGAA